CAGGCUGCAACUCGCCUGCAUGAAGUUGGAAUUGCUAGUAAUCGCGAAUCAGAAUGUCGCGGUGAAUACGUUCCCGGGCCUUGUACACACCGCCCGUCACACCAUGAGAGUCGAUAACACCCGAAGCCUGUGAGCUAACCUUUCAGGAGGCAGCAGUCGAAGGUGGGGUUGAUGAUUGGGGUGAAGUCGUAACAAGGUACC
rnacentral:rRNA from 1 species